CUGGCCUAGUGGUUAGAGCAUCUGCCUUGGAUGCUGGAGGUCGUGGGUUCGAUCCUUUCCAAGU